rnacentral:ribozyme from 1 species
AGGUCACAAGUUUGAGACCAUAGCAGAAGUGCUCACAGCGUGUCCUGGCAGAUUCCAACAAAUCUGUGAAUUCUGCU